UACGUAGGGGGCAAGCGUUGUCCGGAUUUACUGGGCGUAAAGCGCGCGUAGGUGGAAGGUCAAGUCCGGCUUGAAAGCCCCCGGCUCAACCGGGGAGAGUGGCUGGAAACUGGUCUUCUUGAGGGCGAGAGAGGAGGGUGGAAUUCCUGGUGUAGCGGUGAAAUGCGUAGAGAUCAGGAGGAACACCAGUGGCGAAGGCGACUUCCUGGCCUGUUCUUGACGCUGGAGGCGCGAAAGCUAGGGGAGCAAACGGG
rnacentral:rRNA from 1 species